rnacentral:sRNA from 1 species
AAGCGCGGGUAAGUUUAUAAUCAUUGCCAC